AUUGAACGCUGGCGGCAGGCCUAACACAUGCAAGUCGAGCGAGCGGCGGACGGGUGAGUAAUGUAUGGGGACUGCCCGAUAGAGGGGGAUAACUACUGGAAACGGUAGCUAAUACCGCAUACUAUCGGAUAACCCAUAUGGGAUUGGCUAGUAGGUGAGGUAAUGGCUCACCUAGGCGACGAUCCCUAGCUGGUCUGAGAGGAUGAUUAUACACACUGGGACUGAGACACGGCCCAGACGGCUGCGGAGGAAGCAGUGGGGAGUAGUGCACUAUGGGCGCAAGCCUGAUGCAGCCAUGCCGCGUGUAUGAAGAAGGCCCUAGGGUUGUAAAGUACUUACAGUCGGGAGGCGUUACCGACAGAAGAAGCACCGGCUAACUCCGUGCCAGCAGCCGCGGUAAUUC
rnacentral:rRNA from 1 species